rnacentral:rRNA from 1 species
AUUGAACGCUGGCGGCAUGCUUUACACAUGCAAGUCGAACGGUAACAGGUUAAGCUGACGAGUGGCGAACGGGUGAGUAAUGCAUCGGAACGUGCCCGGUCGUGGGGGAUAACGCAGCGAAAGCUGCGCUAAUACCGCAUACGAUCUGAGGAUGAAAGCGGGGGACCGUAAGGCCUCGCGCGAUCGGAGCGGCCGAUGUCAGAUUAGGUAGUUGGUGGGGUAAAGGCUCACCAAGCCAACGAUCUGUAGCUGGUCUGAGAGGACGACCAGCCACACUGGGACUGAGACACGGCCCAGACUCCUACGGGAGGCAGCAGUGGGGAAUUUUGGACAAUGGGCGAAAGCCUGAUCCAGCAAUGCCGCGUGCAGGAAGAUGGCCUUCGGGUUGUAAACUGCUUUUGUACGGAGCGAAAAGGCCUCCUCUAAUACAGGGGGCUCAUGACGGUACCGUAAGAAUAAGCACCGGCUAACUACGUGCCAGCAGCCGCGGUAA